ACACUUGCCUGGAAGGGGAGAUAUGACCAUGAAGGUGCUUGGCCCAGAACAAGGUUUAUCCUUUACACUUGCGGAGGGCUGACCUGUGAGACUUCCUUGAUGUGGGAAACUCGACUGCUUCAUUUAUGGCAGCGGGAGGCUUUCCUU
rnacentral:snRNA from 1 species